GAUGAACGCUGGCGGCGUGCCUAAUACAUGCAAGUCGAGCGAACGGACGAGAAGCUUGCUUCUCUGAUGUUAGCGGCGGACGGGUGAGUAACACGUGGAUAACCUACCUAUAAGACUGGGAUAACUUCGGGAAACCGGAGCUAAUACCGGAUAAUAUUUUGAACCGCAUGGUUCAACAGUGAAAGACGGUCUUGCUGUCACUUAUAGAUGGAUCCGCGCUGCAUUAGCUAGUUGGUAAGGUAACGGCUUACCAAGGCAACGAUGCAUAGCCGACCUGAGAGGGUGAUCGGUCACACUGGAACUGAGACACGGUCCAGACUCCUACGGGAGGCAGCAGUAGGGAAUCUUCCGCAAUGGGCGAAAGCCUGACGGAGCAACGCCGCGUGAGUGAUGAAGGUCUUCGGAUCGUAAAACUCUGUUAUUAGGGAAGAACAUAUGUGUAAGUAACUGUGCACAUCUUGACGGUACCUAAUCAGAAAGCCACGGCUAACUACGUG
rnacentral:rRNA from 1 species